UACGGGGGGGUGCGAGCGUUGUCCGGAAUCACUGGGCGUAAAGGGCGCGUAGGUGGCGUCGUAAGUCUGUGGUGAAAGCCCGGAGCUCAACUCCGGGUCUGCCGCGGAUACUGCGAGGCUUGAGUGCUGUAGAGGGGGGUAGAAUGCCGGGUGUAGCGGUGGAAUGCGUAGAGAUCCGGCAGAAGACCGGUGGCGAAGGCGGCCCCCUGGGCAGUAACUGACACUGAGGCGCGACAGCGUGGGGAGCAAACAGG
rnacentral:rRNA from 1 species